rnacentral:rRNA from 1 species
CACGUAGGCACCAAGCGUUGUCCGGAUUUAUUGGGCGUAAAGAGCGUGUAGGCGGCCAGACAGGUCCGUUGUGAAAACUCGAGGCUCAACCUCGAGAUGUCGAUGGAAACCGUCUGGCUAGAGUCCGGAAGAGGAGUGUGGAAUUCCUGGUGUAGCGGUGAAAUGCGCAGAUAUCAGGAAGAACACCUAUGGCGAAGGCAGCACUCUGGGACGGUACUGACGCUGAGACGCGAAAGCGUGGGGAGCGAACAGG